rnacentral:lncRNA from 1 species
AAAAAAAAAACCUAAGACGUAACAAUACUGGACCCACAUUCCUUCAUGGUAGCAGUUGAUAAGAGGUGGAUAGUGACUUCUCCCUUUUGACCGGGUGUGGACUUUCCAACUCACCAUAGUCCCAGUUGGCCUGCUUUGUUCAAAGCCUGGCCUUGUAAGCAUCAUGUUUGAGACCCUAUUAUGUCCCAAAGCUUUGCUUCUAUCGUUUGGCCUGGGGGGGAAAGCUGGAUUAAUGUUUAGUCAGCAGCUUAUUGGGUGGGUGGAGGGGGGGAACAGUGCUGUUGCUUAAGAAAAGUAACAACCCAGUAAAAGAAUUUAUGGGAAAGAGUGUGCACAACUUUGGUCUGUUUGUGGAUUUGGUCGUUUUUUUGCUGUAAAUGCUGUUGGCAUAUCAAACCUCCCGUCACAAAUGUUCCCUCUGAAAUAGUAACAUGUCCUUCUAUCUUAUGAGUUGCCACCCAGUGAAGGAAUCCCUCCCACUCCCAAGGGAUGUUCAUCCAGCCUCCGCUUGACCACUUCCAGCAGCCAGGGAGCUUAUUACCUCCUCACAUGGCAGCCAGUUCCAUUCUUGGACAGAUGCGUUAUUUUAAAAUUCUUCCUUAUGUUGAAGCAGCUGCUGCCUCUUUGGGACUGAAAGCCACAAAAUGCUGGAGCUGGGAAGGAAAACCGAUUUUUUUAGGAUUCUUCUCAUCGCAGUGCUCCAGGCAGCCACUACCAAUCGAUUGGAGUUAGCCUGUGAGGUAAAACCUAUUUGUCAUGUCUCACCCAGUCCUG